CACCGCGGUUAUACGAGAGGCCCAAGUUGACAAACACCGGCGUAAAGCGUGGUUAAGCUAAAACUCAUACUAAAGCCAAACACCUUCAAAGCUGUUAUACGCACCCGAAGGCAGGAAGUUCAACCACGAAAGUGGCUUUAAUUCGAUCUGAGUCCACGAAAGCUAAGGAA
rnacentral:rRNA from 1 species